GGCCUGGGGAGCUGCUGUUAGCUGUGCAUCGGCAGGAUCCUCAUCAAGCAGAAGCUCCCUGGUGCACUGUUGCAGUGCUUGGCUGCCAGUGAAAAAGGCAGGACAAUCUGAGAUUUCAUUGUUCCUAGGACCUCAAAGAGAUCUUAGAUGUCAAGAAAUGAGGUCUUAUUCUUGGAAAAUGGCCCACAAGUGAAGAUGGCACGGCUCACAGUGAAGGAGGCAAGGAAUCAUUGAGUUACAGGGUGGAGCAUGACCAAAUAAAACAAAAAUCAUGAAGUCCUGGAUGCAGGUGUCAGUGUAACUCACAGUUGACUCCGUGGAGCCCAGAGUCUGAGGAUCUUACCCGGAGGAUGUCUCCAAACUCAGC